rnacentral:rRNA from 1 species
UUUGCCUAAGCAGAAUAUAGCCAAUCUAAGCUGAUCUUGCAAACUAAGUAGAUUUGGCCCCAGAUAGUACUGGAAUGGAACUCCAGAACUGAACACUGGAUUGGGAAAUU